rnacentral:tRNA from 1 species
AAUAAAAUAAUUUAAUUUAAUUUGAGAUUUUAAAAAAGUGUAAAUUAUUUAUGGUAAAAAUUAUAGAAACAAAAUAUAUAACAUUGGUAGAUAAUCAACAUUAAUUAUUUCAAUUUUUGGUAAAUACUAGUUUUUGUAUUAGUAUGUAAUAUUUAUGAUUAAUUUUAUUUAAAUAAAUAUUUAACAUUUUAUAUCCAAUUCAAAUUAUUUUUUAUUA